GAGAACAUGAUGAUCCUUCUAAUGAUUCUGAUUCUCCUCUUCCUUCAUCUCCUUCUGAUUCUGCUUCACCUGUCAAUCUACCUUCUUCUGCUCCACUCAGUUCUCCUGUCUUGGAUACUACUUCUGUUCCAGCUCCUAGAAAAUCUAGCAGACCUCAUAAUCCCCCUUCCUACCUUAUGGAUUAUGUGUGCCAACUUCCUGCCUUCUCUGGCUCUUCUUC
rnacentral:lncRNA from 1 species